rnacentral:rRNA from 1 species
AUUGAACGCUGGCGGCAGGCCUAACACAUGCAAGUCGAACGGUAACAGGAAGCAGCUUGCUGCUUCGCUGACGAGUGGCGGACGGGUGAGUAAUGUCUGGGAAACUGCCUGAUGGAGGGGGAUAACUACUGGAAACGGUAGCUAAUACCGCAUAACGUCGCAAGACCAAAGAGGGGGACCUUCGGGCCUCUUGCCAUCGGAUGUGCCCAGAUGGGAUUAGCUAGUAGGUGGGGUAAUGGCUCACCUAGGCGACGAUCCCUAGCUGGUCUGAGAGGAGGACCAGCCAAACUGGAACUGAGACACGGUCCAGACUCCUACGGGAGGCAGCAGUGGGGAAUAUUGCACAAUGGGCGCAAGCCUGAUGCAGCCAUGCCGCGUGUAUGAAGAAGGCCUUCGGGUUGUAAAGUACUUUCAGCGGGGAGGAAGGGAGUAAAGUUAAUACCUUUGCUCAUUGACGUUACCCGCAGAAGAAGCACCGGCUAACUCCGUGCCAGCCGCCGCGGUAA